rnacentral:rRNA from 1 species
UACAGAGGGGGCAAGCGUUAUUCGUAAUUAUUGGGCGUAAAGGGCGCGUAGGCGGCCUGGCAAGUGGAAGGUGAAAUCCCUCGGCUUAACCGAGGAACUGCCUCCCAAACUGCUUGGCUUGAGACCGGGAGAGGUGAGUGGAAUUCCCAGUGUAGCGGUGAAAUGCGUAGAUAUUGGGAGGAACACCAGUGGCGAAGGCGGCUCACUGGACCGGUACUGACGCUGAUGCGCGAAAGCGUGGGGAGCAAACGGG